CGUUCCCGGGCCUUGUACACACCGCCCGUCACACCAUGGGAGUUGGUUUUACCUGAAGACGGUGCGCUAACCGAAAGGGGGUCAGCCGGCCACGGUAGGGUCAGCGACUGGGGUGAAGUCGUAAACAAGGUACC
rnacentral:rRNA from 1 species